rnacentral:lncRNA from 1 species
CAAAAAGAACCUGAGUGAUCUGCUUAGCAGGAGGCAGGCUGGGCAUUGGGUUAGCAGUACUGGCUCUAGAGAAUUCUACCGCAUAACUGAUAUCUUACACAGAACAGCUCUCUUCCUGGCUUGGGCUUCACUAAGGCCAUUUCUAAUCACCACCAAGUUUGAUUUCAACUUUGGAGUCAAUGCAAUCCUUGUGCUAAAUGAGAUCCUUCCUGGUAGUUACUGGCACUGUCUGGCAUAUUUGUGGAAGCAUUAACUCCUUGAGGUAGUCAAUUAGUUGCUGCUGGAGCUAAGUCCACGACAGAAUUUCUGCAGUCAGCUCUAGGCAGGCCCACCUCCUGCCACACUGCUCUCCAGGCACAUGGAAGGGUUUCCCUCACCACCAGUUUACUCCUGGGGCCUAGCUCGGUCUCAGGCAGGAGAGCACUCAGGAAGACAGCCAUAUAUCACUCCACUCGAGGCUGCCUCUGGUCUGGAAAUUGUGGGUCUGCUUCACCGUGUGCUAUUAACUGGCUGAUCCUGUUUGCUCUAUGAAGUGAACCAUAUUUGCUAAGGGUAAUUUGAAAUCGGCAGUGCAAAUGGCCCCCUGACUUCCUCCUGCUGUUGGGCACUGUGCUGAGGUGAGUGCUGCAGGGCUCAUGGUCAUCAAGUCCCCCCAGUGGGACAAAUACUGCAUAUCUUGUGAGAACCACUGGAUUACUAAGAUGUUAGCAGCCCCAUGGACUUCCCGGAGCCUGUCCCUCGUCAGGAAAUGUGCCAUCUAACGCAUGCACAUCAGUUCACAGUGAUGCACAGUAAAACCGAAAGCCAAGGGUCUGAUUAACUGGCAUCACUGAAGGCUCUGGUUUUAUUCCCAUCCUGGGUGACCUGGGAGCAUCCUUCAGAUUGUGCAUCUAGGGUAUGAUGGGUUUAUUUGUUCAUCACCGUCUUCCUCGGGUGUAGAGCAGGGUCUGGCAUGGAGCAGGCGUUCCGUAUUUGCUGAGCGAACACACAGAUCGUAUGACCUGCUCUACACCUGUUGCUUGCUGCCUUCACGUCACUUACGGUCUCACUGGGGAGAUGUGAGUGUUACACGUGAGACCAUGAGACAGCAGGAAAAGACUAGCAGAGCCAGGAGCUAAAACAUGGGCAAGGCCAGCAGGUCCCGGCAGGAAGUCUGCGGGCUCUGAGGCCCUCGUGGGCACAGGGCUGAGGUUGGGCAGGCGCCUCCGCGUCUGCUGGGCAAAGAUCAGGUUGGCGCCGGGGUGGGAGGCUGGACAGGUGUGGAGGAGCAGGAAACACAUUCCAGGUUUCCCUAAGGAAAUGGGAAAAACCAGUUGUUUUAAAAAUUGAACUGAAUUCUUUCUUUUUUUCUUUUUUUUUUUUUUUUUGAGAUGGAGUCUUGCUCUGUCACCAAGGCUGGAGUGCUGUGGUGUGAUCUCGGCUCACUGCAACCUCCACCCGCUGGAAAAAUUGAACUGAAUUCUGUCUUAACCAACUUCCAGGGCAUGGCCAAAGUCAUCUGUAGCAGAGUAUCCCCAUGGACUGGGUUUGGGACUGUAACUUAGUGCCUGGAAACAUUGGUACCAAGCUGAGGCUCUUAUGGUUCCAUUGUUCGUGGUCUUGAGACUUGGCCUUCAUAAACACAGCUCAGCAAAGGCGUCGUUAUUGGGCAGGCCACUGCAAACUUGCCCAAAUCUGUGGAAGCACCUGGUGAAUCCCGAGCACUCUCUAAGCAGAGUGAGAAGAACCCUGAAGCCACAUUUUUGAAGUGUCUCUUAUGAGCGUUGAAGAUGGGGGCAUCUGCUGAGCUUAUGCAGGAGGCUGUUUGCUUAUUUGAGGGCUGAAGUUUGUAUGAAGACUGGCGGUGCGUGUGUAUCACCAGUCGUAGCCGAAGCAACUUGGGGAGGCUUUUCACGGUUGUUCAAGCUGUUUAUAACAGCUGUGUAUCCACAGGUGACACUAGUGCUUGGAGCAGCAGAGGAGCCAUGCUUGGGCAGCAGCUGCUUUGUAAUCCAUGCACUGAAAUUCUGUCCCCUGUGCUGGGUGGGGAUGCUCUCUGUGGUGUCAUUGAACUCAGUGUGUGUUGUUGCUGUUUGCAAUGUGCUCAAUGGCUCAGAUGCAAUGAUGGAUGCUUCCAGGAGAGGCAACAUGAGUCCUUGAAUCAUACAAAUUCAUAUUCCACAGCCUCAUGAAGUCAUCUCUGCUGAAUCAGGUUUCUCCCUGACAUGGAGGGUGUGGCCACACAGCAUCUGACAGCAUGGAGAGAGCAAUCAGACUAAUUUCUUAUUAUGUUCUAACAAUAUAAAAAAUCCAAACUGCAUAAUUGAGGCAAAUAAUAAAUCUUUCUGGACCAUGAUUACCCAAUUUGACUGUUUACUUUAAUCAAAUCACAAAAUAAUGAUCGAAUUUGGAUUUAAUUAUGUGCCUAUAAAGAUAACCAAGAAGCAAAUGUAAGUAACUGUCAGUCAAAGUCUUCUCAGACAAUAGCUCGCAUUACAACACGCCAAUUACAUUUUUAUCAGGUAGUUAAGUUAAUUACCUGUGGUAAAUGUGUUAGUGGGACAAGUGUAGAUUGCUGUAAACAUUUGCUGACCACUUUAAAAUGCUGCUGGACCAUAUGGGAGGAUUCAAGGGUACAAUAGCAUGCAGAUGUAUUUACACCUGCUAAUGCCAUAUAAAAUCCAAUAAAGUGUUCAUGGU